GCAAGCGCAGACUCGCAGUACAGUGAUGACAAAAUCUCCCGUCCUACUACGAGUCAUCUGUCAUAGUAAAACAGCAAUAUCUUUGGAAUACUUGAGUAGAAAAUGUGCGGCAUUCGUAGUGGAACAGCUGAUUCGAUAACUAAAUUUCACAGAUUUGCUGUCACUUGCUAAACUUCGGCGCUACUGUCGACUUCUGAGACUACUGAACGAUGCCUAAACACAGUAACAUUUGACGCUUAAUAUCCGAUUUGCAUGUUAGUCAAUGCGCAAUGUCGGUGAAGCUGUAAUAAACAAUGUACCUAUUUGCUUCGUUUCCACAUUAGUAGCAAUUGUUUUCACAGAUAAGCAUUGGUGUGUGAUACAAUUGCUAUCGCGUAGAUAACUUUCUAUCCCCACUUUUUGUCAGUAUUAUAAUUUCAACCCUUUCACUAGUUCUCGUGAUUUUUAAAAUGACAAGCACAAAUGAACGCCGCCAGCUUGAAAUGGAAUUAACCGACCUCAUAGAUGCUGAAAAUUUAAGGGGGAAGGAUGCAGCAUUAGCUUACAACAACAGGGGACAUUUAAGAUAUUUGCAAGUGAACUUUGAUGGAGCAAUAGAAGAUUAUGAUAAAGCAAUAGCAAACGAUCCUGACCUAGCAGUUGCAUAUUACAACAGAGGAACCGUUUUUUACAGACUAGGCAGGUGGCACUAAUUUGAUGUGGACUUCGAGAAAAGUACAUUCAUACAGCUAUAGUAAGAAAACAAGUGAUGACUCCAAAGUUGUGGGUAUAGCUGUAUUCUAAAUUGACAGACAGUAGUAAUAUUUUCAGAAAAAGAUGUGUAUGUUACAGAAGUUGACACAGGAUCUGGAGUUUGGAAAGUGCGUUCUGCCCAGUUGAAUAAUUGGCUCCUGCACACAUUUUCAACAAUGGGACUUGAUGCCAUUUUCACAUAACUGUUGAGGAAGGAUGUACUGGUUCACUGGGGCAUUGUUUUCUAUUUCUUAUUGAUGCCCUCACCUCUAGGCAAUGGGUGCCAUGGUGGGGGGUCAUGCUCAGAGACUCAGUUGCUGAAAGUUCACACUCUAUGCUCUUUAUGCCAAGCAAAGAAAUCCUUAUGAAAGAUGGAAUCCACUGUCCAUGUUUAUUAGGAAAGUUUGAGGAUGCACUGACAGACAUGGAACAGGCUGUAAGACUGGAAGCAAAAAAUGGAGAAUUUGCAGAAGGACUAACUGCUUGUCUUACAAAGAAAAAUCAAGUAAUUGCAAAAUAAUAUUCUUUUGUAUUAAAAUUCAUUCUGCUUGACAAUCCAUGUAAUAAUUUGCAAUACAAAUAAAUUUGUAACUGAAA